rnacentral:rRNA from 2 species
UUCGCAAUGCCCGAAAGGGUGACGAAGCGACGCCGCGUGGGUGAGGAAGGCCUUCGGGUUGUAAAGCCCUGUCAGGAGUUAAGAAAUGUAAGUGUGCUAAUAUCGCAUUUACUUGACGAAGGCUCCAAAGGAAGUCACGGCUAACUCUGUGCCAGCAGCCGCGGUAAUACAGAGGUGGCAAGCGUUGUUCGGAAUUAUUGGGCGUAAAGAGUACGUAGGUGGGUUUGUAAGUCAGAUGUGAAAGCCUCCUGUUCAACGGGAGAAUUGCAUCUGAAACUACUGAUCUUGAGUAUAGGAGGGGAGAAUGGAACUUCUGGUGGAGCGGUGAAAUGCGUAGAUAUCAGAAGGAACGCCGGCGGCGAAAGCGAUUCUCUGGCCUAUUACUGACACUGAGUGUGCGAAAGUUAGGGGAGCAAACGGGAUUAGAUACCCCGGUAGUCCUAACUGUAAACGAUGGGCACUAAGUAGAGGGGUUUU